rnacentral:rRNA from 1 species
GGCGGCGUGCCUAACACAUGCAAGUCGUGCGGGAAAGUGGGGGUAACUCCAUGAGUAGAGCGGCGCACGGGUGAGUAACACGUAGGUAACCUGCCCUCAAGACUGGGAUAACCUGUCGAAAGAUGAGCUAAUACCAGAUAAGACCACCGGGGCCGCGGUUCUGGUGGAAAAAGGUGGCCUCUGCUUGCACGCUACUACUUGAGGAUGGGCCUGCGCGCCAUUAGCUAGUUGGCGGGGUAAAAGCCCACCAAGGCGAAGAUGGCUAGCUGGUCUGAGAGGAUGGCCAGCCACACUGGGACUGAGACACGGCCCAGACUCCUACGGGAGGCAGCAGUGGGGAAUAUUGCGCAAUGGGCGAAAGCCUGACGCAGCGACGCCGCGUGGGUGAUGAANGCCUUCGGGUCGUAAAGCCCUGUCGGGAGGGACGAAACCUCGGCGACCUAACACGUCGUCGACCUGACGGUACCUCUUAAGGAAGCACCGGCUAACUCCGUGCCAGCAGCCGCGGUAAUACGGA